UACGUAGGGGGCGAGCGUUGUCCGGAAUCAUUGGGCGUAAAGCGCGUGUAGGCGGUCCGGUAAGUCCGCUGUGAAAGUCGGGGGCUCAACCCUCGGAUGCCGGUGGAUACUGUCGGGCUUGAGUACGGAAGAGGCGAGUGGAAUUCCUGGUGUAGCGGUGAAAUGCGCAGAUAUCAGGAAGAACACCCGUGGCUAAGGCGGCUCUCUAGUACGGUACUGACGCUGAGACGCGAAAGCGUGGGGAGCGAACAGG
rnacentral:rRNA from 1 species